rnacentral:rRNA from 1 species
GCAAGUCGAGCGGACCCUUUGUGGUUAGCGGCGGACGGUUGAGUAACGCAUGGGAAUAUGCCCUUCUCUACGGAAUAGUCCUGGGAAACUGGGGGUAAUACCGUAUACGCCCUUUGGGGGAAAGAUUUAUCGGGGAAGGAUUAGCCCGCGUUGGAUUAGGUAGUUGGUGGGGUAAUGGCCUACCAAGCCGACGAUCCAUAGCUGGUUUGAGAGGAUGAGC